rnacentral:lncRNA from 1 species
UCUUAGGGAAGUGGGAACGAGGAAUGUGUAGGUCAGGGAGGGGAUCAAGGGAUUUCCAUUUUUAAAUUUACACCGUCGAAUAGUUUUAAAGUUGCUUCCAGCCGGUUUGUGAUGAAUCACGUUUUUAUUGAGACACACUUCUUACACUGUAGAAUUUACCCUUCUGCAGUGUGCAGUUCAGCGGUUUCAGGCUAGUGACAAGGUCGCGCAGCCAUCACUGCCGUCUGCUUCUGGGAUGGGGUGGGUAGAAGUGAGAUAGGAAAGCUGACUCCGAUGAUUGUUUCGUGGUGCUCAAGCUUGCUUUGAUGAACAGGUCACUGGAAGGGGCUGCCCACGGGACAGGGACAGCCGAGUCAUCGCACCCCCUCCCGGGACCAGCUCCUCCCCGCAUUGCUGAUUCUGGAGGCUUCUGGCUCCUCUGUCACUAUGCCGUGCUCACUGCACGCUCCCAUCCCGAAGUGCUCCCAGAGUGUAUUUUCUUGGCCAGGCAUCUUGCUGACUCCGGACUUCUCUGCACCAACCGCUUCCUCUCUUCCGCUCUGGACGGUCACAGCCAGUGCCUUCGACCAGCCUCCACCACUGGCCAUCAUUAGACGUUGUACAUUGCUGGACGGUUCUGAUACUCCAAGGCACGGCCCCGCGGGCUUUGAAGCACCGAGCGCCAUGAGGCAGGAGAGGUUCCAGAGAUCCACAGAGGAGGAAGGAGGAGGGACUCCCACACAGGAGCUCGGCACCUGCCCUUUCUGCGUUCUUGCUACGAGAGGAGAGGUGAAGCAACCCUUCCCUUCUGUCUGCUCCUUUCUCCAGCAAGUGUGUAAACACACUCGGAUUCUCCAUCCCGCCGCAUCCCAAGCUGGCCUGAGGCGUUACCGCACAAACCCAGAGCCACGGCCACCAUGGCCCGACGGUGCGACCCACCCCCUUGCCCCUCUCCCAGGGCCUCCG